CAGAGUAGGAGCAGUGCGUCAAGUGCAGCGGGAUGGGAAGUUGCCCGCUGACGAAGAACGUCAAGUCACUCGCGGCAAAGCCAAGCGAAGCGGAUUUGCAGCGAAGAAGGAGGAUUGCUUGUGCCGGUCGAUCUGAUGCCGCUUGCGGUAUCAGAUGACCUUGCCCAAGCAAUCCGACGCAGCGUCGCGGUACUGUCUCCGCUUCCGCUG
rnacentral:ncRNA from 1 species